rnacentral:lncRNA from 1 species
AUGAAGCUCCAGAUGUUUUGACUGUAGACUCUGUCUUAGAUAUGCGAGAAUCAGGGACCAAUACUGAAAUUCAUCAUCCAACAGACCUCAGAUUUGAGGAUGACAAUGUUCGAGGGCCAAGUUUCACUGCCGUCACCCUGCUUGAAGAUGUUGAAAGUGAAACUGACAAUUUCAUGGACGCUCUAAAUUCAAUUGAUACAGAAUCUGAGAGCGAACUUGAUUAUCAGACGA